UGAUCCUGCCGGAGGUUACUGCUAUCGAGAUUCGACUAAGCCAUGCGAGUUGAAUGUUCUUCGUGAACAUGGCGGACCGCUCAGUAACACGUGGACAACCUACCCUUCGGUCCGGCAUAAUCCUGGGAAACUGGGGAUAAUUCCGGAUAGGUCACAGAUGCUGGAAUGCUCUGCGGCUUAAAGCUCCGGCGCCGAAGGAUGGGUCUGCGGCCUAUCAGGGUUGUAGUGGGUGUAACGUACCUACUAGCCUACGACGGGUACGGGUUGUGAGAGCAAGAGCCCGGAGAUGGAUUCUGAGACACGAAUCCAGGCCCUACGGGGUGCAGCAGGCGCGAAAGCUUUACAAUGCGGGAAACCGUGAUAAGGGAAUCUCGAGUGCCAGCAUAUAAUGUUGGCUGUCCAAAUGCCUAAAAAGCAUUUGUUAGCAAGGGCCGGGCAAGACCGGUGCCAGCCGCCGCGGUAACACCGGCGGCCCGAGUGGUAACCGUUUUUAUUGGGUCUAAAGGGUCUGUAGCCGGCCAUGUAAGUCCCUUGGGAAAUCUGGCAGCUCAACUGUCAGGCUGCCAGGGGAUACUGCUUGGCUUGGGACCGGGAGAGGUGAGAGGUACUUUGAGGGAGGGGGUGAAAUCUUGUGAUCCUCGGGGGACCACCAGUGGCGAAGGCGUCUCACCAGAACGGGUCCGACGGUAAGGGACGAAAGCUAGGGGCACGAACCGGAUUAGAUACCCGGGUAGUCCUAGCCGUAAACGAUGCUCGCUAGGUGUCAGUCACGGUGCGACCGUGAUUGGUGCCGUAGGGAAGCCGUGAAGCGAGCCACCUGGGAAGUACGGCCGCAAGG
rnacentral:rRNA from 1 species